GUCGCCGUCACAGCUCCUGCUCUUGCACCACUCGCCUCGCUCUCUGUGUCUCUCGCGCCGCCCCCCGAGGCCCGAGCGGUCGGUGAUGGCAGCCGCGGCGUGGCUGUGCGGGCUCGUCUCGCUCCUGGCGGUAGCCGCCGCCGCGGCGGCGGAUGGGGAGUGGGAGCCGCUGAUACGGAUGCCGACGGAGGAGGGGGGCGACGCUGCUGCUGCUGCUCCGGCGGCCGAGGAUGAAGUGGGGACGAGGUGGGCCGUGCUCGUGGCGGGAUCCUCCGGCUACGGCAACUACCGGCACCAGGCCGAUGUAUGCCAUGCAUACCAGAUACUGCAGAAGGGACGAGUGAAGGAGGAGAAUAUUGUGGUGUUCAUGUACGAUGAUAUUGCCCAUAACAUUCUGAACCCAAGGCCUGGGAUUAUCAUUAACCAUCCUAAAGGUGAAAAUGUAUAUACCGGUGUUCCAAAGGACUAUACAGGUGAUCAGGUCACUACUGAAAAUUUCUUUGCUGUGCUCUUGGGCAAUAAAAGUGCAAUUACUGGAGGGAGUAAGAAGGUUAUAGACAGUAAACCAAAUGACCACAUAUUUAUCUAUUACUCAGAUCAUGGUGGUCCUGGAGUUCUUGGUAUGCCAAACUUGCCAUAUCUCUAUGCUGGCGACUUCAUCAAGGUUUUAAAAAAGAAGCAUGCUUCCAAUAGCUACUCGAAAAUGGUUAUAUAUGUUGAAGCAUGUGAAAGUGGCAGUAUCUUUGAGGGAUUAAUGCCACAAGACCUAAAUAUUUAUGUCACAACUGCUGCAAAUCCAGUUGAAAAUAGUUGGGGAACAUACUGCCCUGGGAUGGACCCACCACCCCCUCCUGAGUACAUUACCUGUUUAGGUGAUCUGUACAGUGUUUCUUGGAUGGAAGAUAGUCAAACCCACAAUCUAAUGAAGGAAACCAUCAAGGAUCAGUACGAAGUGGUGAAAACAAGAACCUCUAACUCGAAUAAGUACAAGGAGGGUUCUCAUGUCAUGGAGUAUGGUGACAAGACCUUCAAGGAUGAGAAGCUUUUCCUUUAUCAAGGUUUUGAUCCUGCUAAUGCCAACGUUGCAAAUACGCUGCUUUGGCCAGGCCCAAAGGGUGCAGUCAAUCAGAGAGAUGCUGAUCUUCUCUUCAUGUGGAAGAGGUAUGAGCAGUUAAAUGGGGGAUCUGAAGAGAAACUGAGGGCUCUCAGAGAGAUUAAAGAAACUGUUCAACACAGGAAGCAUCUCGACAGCAGCAUCGAUUUCAUUGGGAAACUUAUCUUUGGAUUUGAGAAUGGGCCUAAAAUGCUUGAGACCGUUAGAGCAUAUGGUGAACCAUUAGUUGAUGACUGGGAUUGUUUGAAGAGGAUGGUGAGGAUUUUCGAAUCCCAGUGCGGGUCGCUCACUCAAUACGGCAUGAAGUACAUGAGGGCAUUUGCGAACAUUUGCAACAGCGGUAUAUCCGAGACAAAGAUGAGGGAGUCGAGCAUCAGUGCUUGCGGCGGUUACAACCUGGCGAGGUGGAGCCCUUUGGUUCAGGGACACAGCGCCUGAUGAGGUGCAGCCUGUAGCAAAGGUCCCCGAGGUCUAUCCUGCGUAGGGACGCUGCGAACUCGUGUAACCUGGGGACUGUAAAGCGUAAACCGCUCAGAAUGUGCGUUGGUUAAUCUGCUGUAUAUAUUGUGUACCGUGCGUUCGUGCCUGUGUGAACUGAUACCAUGCAAGUCUGAUCUGCAGCCAACUGCCGAAAUGAUUAUGACCUGAUGUGAAUGCUGUUGCGAAAAA